UACAGGGGGGGCAAGCGUUGUUCGGAAUUACUGGGCGUAAAGGGUUCGUAGGUGGCCAAUUAAGUCAGACGUGAAAUCCCUCAGCUUAACUGGGGAACUGCGUCUGAUACUGGGAGGCUUGAGUAUGGGAGAGGGAUGUAGAAUUCCAGGUGUAGCGGUGAAAUGCGUAGAUAUCUGGAGGAAUACCGGUGGCGAAGGCGGCAUCCUGGACCAUAACUGACGCUGAGGCGCGAAAGCUAGGGGAGCAAACGGG
rnacentral:rRNA from 1 species